AAAAAAGCUGAGAAAGUGUCAGUAGAUAUAUAUUUUCUUACAGAGAGAAGGAGUCACCGGCUGCGAGCUCCUUUAAGUUCAGAUAUAUAUUGAGAUUCCCACUGGAGCUUCUUCUCCGAAAGACAAGUAAGAGAAGACGUACAGACGCGUUAAGUCUUAAUGAGUGUCCGUUAAUAUUUUAAUCGGAAAUCAGGGUGGUACCGCGAGAUGAUAUAAUUGCCUCGUCCCUCCA
rnacentral:ncRNA from 1 species